UUUUCUUCUUCUCUUUCACCCACCCAGCGCCUUUUUUAUGCUCUCAUGCCAUUUUCACCUUACUACCAUGCAUUUGAAAGGAAAAAUGGAGAGAAUCGGCUAAGUAAAGAAAGAAGAGAAAAAUGGAAGGCUUGGGUAGUGAGUGAUUCAAUAGUAAUUGAAGAAAUAUCAAGUGGGUUUCAAGAUUCAAGAGACAUAAGGUAAGGAUUUUUGUGUUUCAAGCUCACGGUUGGUUAAAUCUUUGGAGAAAUAAUGUGUGAAUCAUUUUGGUAGCUUGAUGAUUAAUGUUUUGAAGAAAUAGUGGAGUGCAUGCACGGGUUAACCAACCAUAAAGGUAAAAACGAAUGAUGUUUUAAGUAUAGUUGAGAAAUCUUGAGAAAUGGUUAUUGUUGUGUAGUUGAAAUUUUAAGUGGCAUAUUGUGAGGAAUUAUGGUUGUUGAAAAGAUCUAUUUACAUAAGCUAGAUGAAAAUUAUUAAGUUUGUAUGGCAUGUUGUGUGAAAGAAAUGAAAAAGGAAUAAUGUGGAUGAAGAAUUGAGAAACAAAGUAUUGAAAAUUAGAUAGAUAAGGAUGCAUGUAAAUUUGGAAAUAAUUGAGUGAAAUUGAGAAUAAUUGUUGCUGCCAUAUAUGUGGUUUAUGUUGAGAAAAUAUAUGACGAAUUUGAAUAAAAAUCAUUGGAAAGGUUGAAAUGGGCACUUGAUGUUAUAAACAAGUUACCGGUACUUAUAAUCUAAAGAAUUACGCAAGCAAAGGAUAUGAAGAACCUUAGCAAAAACGUGUCAAGAUGUAAGUUAAUAGAAUGUGGUUUCAUGUGAAUGAGAAAGAGAAGUGGAAAUGAUAUACACUAAAUGUAUUGAGUUUAAUUUGUUGCUAGGAAAGUUUAUCAUGGUGGCGUACCGGGCUAUGUAACGAGUGACCGACAAGUAGAAAUAGUGAGAUACGCACCCGAAUCAAUAGCGACGAAGCACCCCAUUAUUG
rnacentral:lncRNA from 1 species